UUAUGGUGGGCUGGGCGAGGCAGCCGAAAGGCUGGCCGGGUCCUUUGUAGCCGGUAGUCUCAACCUCGUCCAGUUCACCACCA
rnacentral:antisense_RNA from 1 species